GGCUGCAUGGCUGUCGUCAGCUCGUGUCGUGAGAUGUUGGGUUAAGUCCCGCAACGAGCGCAACCCUUGUCCUUAGUUACCAGCGGGUUAAGCCGGGAACUCUAAGGAUACUGCCAGUGACAAACUGGAGGAAGGCGGGGACGACGUCAAGUCAUCAUGGCCCUUACGACCAGGGCUACACACGUGCUACAAUGGUAGGUACAGAGGGCAGCUACACAGCGAUGUGAUGCGAAUCUCAAAAAGCCUAUCGUAGUCCAGAUUGGAGUCUGCAACUCGACUCCAUGAAGUAGGAAUCGCUAGUAAUCGCGGAUCAGAAUGCCGCGGUGAAUACGUUCCCGGGCCUUGUACACACCGCCCGUCACACCAUGGGAGUUGAUUGCACCAGAAGUGGAUAGCCUAACCUUCGGGAAGGCGUUCACCACGGUGUGGUUGAUGACUGGGGUGAAGUCGGAACAAGGUAGCCGUAGGGGAACCUGCGGCUGGAUCACCUCCUUAACGCAAUAAGUAGACCGCC
rnacentral:rRNA from 1 species